UAAACUCCCUACAUCGUGGACCUCAGUGAAUAAAGCGGUUAUAAUCAGUGAGAGCAUGAAGAGGUACGACCCUGCAACUUCUAUUUGGUUAUGUUAUCAGGUGGUUGUCAUCGGAACUAACGUGACAUCACGGCAUCUAAAAUGGCUACGAAAUACAAAUUGAAGAAAAUUUUUAUUUUUAAGUUUCAACAAAACCGGGAUUUCACAAAAAAUUCGUCACAUGAAGCGCACCCGAGGAGUCAAAAACAAAACAAAACGAUUGGGGUGAAGUUGGUUAUUAAAUAAAAAAAAUAUUUAAAAUUU